UGGGGAAUAUUGGACAAUGGGGGGAACCCUGAUCCAGCAAUGCCGCGUGUGUGAAGAAGGCCUGAGGGUUGUAAAGCACUUUCAGUGGGGAGGAGGAUUUGGAGGUUAAGAGCUAUCAAAUUGGACGUUACCCACAGAAGAAGCACCGGCUAACUCCGUGCCAGCAGCCGCGGUAAUACGGAGGGUGCGAGCGUUAAUCGGAAUUACUGGGCGUAAAGGGUGCGUAGGUGGUUGAUUAAGUUAUCUGUGAAAUUCCUGGGCUUAACCUGGGCAUGUCAGAUGAUACUGGUUGACUUGAGUAUAGGAGAGGGUAGUGGAAUUUCCGGUGUAGCGGUGAAAUGCGUAGAGAUCGGAAGGAACACCGGUGGCGAAGGCGGCUACCUGGCCUAAUACUGACACUGAGGCACGAAAGCGUGGGGAGCAAACAGGAUUAGAUACCCCUGUAGUCC
rnacentral:rRNA from 1 species